rfam:Penicillium camemberti str. FM013
UGAGGCCUCCGACGUGACACAACAUCCUGCAGCGGUGUUGUGUGACCUGCAGUGUCCGUCGCUGGCCUCG